UACGUAGGGGGCGAGCGUUGUCCGGAUUUAUUGGGCGUAAAGCGCGCGUAGGCGGUUAUCCACGUCGGAUGUGAAAGCUCAGAGCUCAACUCAGAGAGGCCAUUCGAUACGGGAUAGCUAGAGGCAGCUAGGGGAGAGUGGAAUUCCUGGUGUAGCGGUGAAAUGCGCAGAUAUCAGGAGGAACACCAAUUGCGAAGGCAGCUCGCUGGGACGGUACUGACGCUGAGACGCGAAAGCGUGGGGAGCGAACAGGAUUAGAAACCCUGUAGU
rnacentral:rRNA from 1 species